UAAUUUAUUUAAAAAAGAAAAACUUAAGAAAUCAGUAUAUAAUUGCUUUGUAUUUCCCAAAUAAUUAUGUGCAAUCUAUGAUAUGACUGUAAAAAUAAAAUUUUUUUUUCUUUACAAAAAUCGAAUGUCCCAAUAGAUACUUCUAAUAAAUUUCACUAUUAAUGGGUAGUAGCGAAAUUUGAUCAAUUUUUCGCUAAAUUGUUAUAUUCAUAAAUUUGUUAGUUUUUAUAAUGAAGCAUCAAUGCUUCAUGUAAUAAAAUGAAAAUCAAAUUAUUU